GCACAAGCCGCGUUUUCCUUCGACGUUGAAGUUCCCGUUCUCAAAGCUCUAACCAGUGGCUUAAUCGCUCCAGAUGAAGCUAUAAGUUCUUUAUUCUCGUCGCAUAAAGACAGAUUCAAAAUCGCCGUCACGCCGUUUUCUUGAAGGUAAGGAUCGGUUGAUGUGAUCAACGAAAUCAACGGUUUGAUCGCACCGGCUUUAGCGAUCUUGAUUCGAUUCUCCGGUUUGUUCUUCGCCAACAAUCUAAGCUCUAAAGCCGCGUUCUUUUGCUCAUCAAUCGAACAGGAGCCGAGAUCCGAUACGAGUUGCCGUAUAAAUUCAUCGGAGUUAUCAGAAUUAGUACAAGCGAGAAAUAACCUCCGGCUUUGCGAUGACGCCGUGGAGAACUCACCGGAUCUGUCGCUGUUACAAUCACUAAAAGCAGAAGAAUCAU
rnacentral:lncRNA from 1 species